rnacentral:rRNA from 1 species
AUUGAACGCUGGCGGUAUGCUUUAGACAUGCAAGUCGAACGGUAACGAUAACUAGCUUGCUAGUUAGGCGACGAGUGGCGGACGGGUGAGUACAACUUAGGAAUCUAUCCAGUAGCUGGGGAUAACUCGGAGAAAUUCGAGCUAAUACCGAAUACGCACUACGGUGGAAAGAGGGGGACCUUCGGGCCUCUCACUAUUGGGUGAGCCUAAGCCGGAUUAGCUAGUUGGUGGGGUAAAGGCCUACCAAGGCGACGAUCCGUAGCUGGUCUGAGAGGACGAUCAGCCACACUGGGACUGAGACACGGCCCAGACUCCUACGGGAGGCAGCAGUCGGGAAUAUUGGACAAUGGGGGCAACCCUGAUCCAGCAAUACCGCGUGUGUGAAGAAGGCCUGCGGGUUGUAAAGCACUUUCAAUUGGGAAGAAAAGCUGAGGGUUAAUAGCCUUUGGUAUUGACGUUACCAAUACAAGAAGCACCGGCUAACUCCG